rnacentral:tRNA from 1 species
GAUGAAAUGCCUGAAAAAGGAUUAUUUUGAUAGAAUAAAACAUGUAUAUUCCCUAUACUUUCAUUG